UACAGAGGUGGCAAGCGUUGUUCGGAUUCAUUGGGCGUAAAGGGUGCGUAGGUGGCGCGCUAAGUCAGGUGUGAAAUUUCGGAGCUUAACUCCGAAACUGCAUUUGAUACUGGCGUGCUUGAGGACUGGAGAGGAGACUGGAAUUCACGGUGUAGCAGUGAAAUGCGUAGAUAUCGUGAGGAAGACCAGUGGCGAAGGCGGGUCUCUGGACAGUUCCUGACACUGAGGCACGAAGGCCAGGGGAGCAAACGGG
rnacentral:rRNA from 1 species